UACGGGGGGUGCGAGCGUUGUCCGGAAUCACUGGGCGUAAAGGGCGCGUAGGUGGCCUGAUAAGGGUGUGGUGAAAGUCCGGGGCUCAACCCCGGAUCGGCCGUGCCGACUGUUAGGCUAGAGUACUGUAGGGGCAGGCGGAAUUCCGGGUGUAGCGGUGGAAUGCGUAGAGAUCCGGAGGAAGACCGGUGGCGAAGGCGGCCUGCUGGGACAGUGCUGACGCUGAGGCGCGACAGCGUGGGGAGCAAACAGG
rnacentral:rRNA from 1 species